rnacentral:pre_miRNA from 1 species
AGUGGCAUAACUGGGUCAAAUGAUGUUUCCAUUCCAAGUUUUCUGAGGAAUCUCUAUAUUGCUUUCCAGAAUGGUUGCACCAAUUUGCAAUUCCACCAGCAAU